rnacentral:misc_RNA from 1 species
CCGAGUUUACAACUCCCAAACCCCAAUGUGAACGUUACCAAACUGUUGCCUCGGCGGGAUUUCCGCCCCGGGCGCGUCGCAGCCCCGGACCAAGGCGCCCGCCGGAGGACCAAACCUUACAAACUCUUUUUGUAUGUCCCUCUGCGGACUCUUUACAUUUCUGAGCUUUCUCGGCGCUCCUAGCGAGCGUUUCGAAAAUGAAUCA